CCUACGGGUGGCUGCAGUGGGGAAUAUUGGACAAUGGGGGCAACCCUGAUCCAGCCAUGCCGCGUGUGUGAAGAAGGCCCUCGGGUUGUAAAGCACUUUCAGUGAGGAAGAACGCCUGGUGGUUAAUACCCAUCAGGAAAGACAUCACUCACAGAAGAAGCACCGGCUAACUCCGUGCCAGCAGCCGCGGUAAUACGGAGGGUGCGAGCGUUAAUCGGAAUUACUGGGCGUAAAGCGCGCGUAGGUGGCAUGAUAAGCCGGUUGUGAAAGCCCCGGGCUCAACCUGGGAACGGCAUCCGGAACUGUCAAGCUAGAGUGCAGGAGAGGAAGGUAGAAUUCGCGGUGUAGCGGUAAAAUGCGUAGAGAUCGGGAGGAAUACCAGUGGCGAAGGCGGCCUUCUGGCCUGAAACUGACACGGAGGUGCGAAAGCGUGGGUAGCAAACAGGAUUAGAUACCCCGGUAGUC
rnacentral:rRNA from 1 species